GAUGAACGCUGGCGGCGUGCCUAAUACAUGCAAGUCGAGCGGACGGACGAGAAGCUUGCUUCUCUGAUGUUAGCGGCGGACGGGUGAGUAACACGUGGAUAACCUACCUAUAAGACUGGGAUAACUUCGGGAAACCGUAGCUAAUACCGGCUAAUAUUUUGAACCGCAUGGUUCAAAAGUGAAAGACGGUCUUGCUGUCACUUAUAGAUGGAUCCGCGCUGCAUUAGCUAGUUGGUAAGGUAACGGCUUACCAAGGCAACGAUGCAUAGCCUAACUGAGAGGGUGAUCGGCCACACUGGAACGGAGACGCGGUCCAGACUCCUACGGGAGGCAGCAGUCGGGAAUCUUCCGCAAUGGGCGGAAGCCUGACGGAGCAACGGCGCGUGAGUGAGGAAGGGCUUCGGAUCGUAAAACUCUGUUAUUAGGGAAGAACAUAUGUGUAAGUAAAUGUGCACAUAUUGACGGUACCUAAUCAGAAAGCCACGGCUAACUACGUG
rnacentral:rRNA from 1 species